rnacentral:rRNA from 1 species
GACGAACGCUGGCGGCGUGCCUAAUACAUGCAAGUUGAGCGCUGAAGGUUGGUACUUGUACCAACUGGAUGAGCAGCGAACGGGUGAGUAACGCGUGGGUAAUCUGCCUUUGAGCGGGGGACAACAUUUGGAAACGAAUGCUAAUACCGCAUAAAAACUUUAAACACAAGUUUUAAGUUUGAAAGAUGCAAUUGCAUCACUCAAAGAUGAUCCCGCGUUGUAUUAGCUAGUUGGUGAGGUAAAGGCUCACCAAGGCGAUGAUACAUAGCCGACCUGAGAGGGGGAUCGGCCACAUUGGGACUGAGACACGGCCCAAACUCCUACGGGAGGCAGCAGUAGGGAAUCUUCGGGAAUGGACGAAAGUCUGACCGAGCAACGCCGCGUGAGUGAAGAAGGGUUUCGGAUCGUAAAACUCUGUUGGUAGAGAAGAAAGUUGGUGAGAGUGGAAAGCUCAUCAAGUGACGGUAACUACCCAGAAAGGGACGGCUAACUACGUG